rnacentral:lncRNA from 1 species
UCUCCGCAGAGCGCCAGCCUUACGUUCGGUGAAGGUACCGAGUCUCCCAGUGCCCAGAGCUGCCAACAAGCCAAGGAAACGAAAGUUUGUACCUUGGAGCCUGGACCGCGCCAAAGUCCCGCCCUCUCUAAGAGCCCUUCAGGGAGCAAAGCUGCGGAUGGAACCGCUGCUGCGGCACCGCCCGAGGAAGAGGAUGAGGAAGAGGGUGGCAAGGAUGGCAUCCGGCCAAGUAACCCUCAGCCCCCGCAGCCAAGCACAGGUCCAGCAUCCCGGGCUGCUGGAGGCAGUAGCAAUUCCAUUCCCUUCAUUGACUGUAGCGAUGUAGAUAGUGAAUACGACCUUCUCAGAGAACCAGGGUCCCAGUCACGGUCCCAGACAAAUGACAACUACGAAGGCGA